GAUCAAGGAUUUUUCUAGAGAAGCGUGCAGAAAUGUGAAACGACUACGCGUGAAGGGAUAUGCGGUUAGAAUGGUAUUGGUCUCCGGCUAGGAUAAUAGUAAUUCUCUAGAAUUGAGUGGAUGGUUGGUUGAAUAUUAUAAUCUGACGGGUGAAAAUGGUCUUAAGGGUAGAUCUAACGUCCGAAAACUUAUGAGUACAAAAAAAUCUAUACUCUUUAAAAGUAUAGUAACUGGAUUCUGUAUAUAUAUAUAUAUAUAUAUAUAUAUAUGUAUGUAUAUAUGUAUAUGUAUGUACAUACAUAUACAUAUAUACAUACAUAUAUAUAUAUAUAUAUAUAUAUAUAUAUAUAUAUACAUAUACAUAUACAUAUACAUAUAUAUAUAUAUACANNNNNNNNNNNNNNNNNNNNNNNNNGCCUGUUUUAAAAUAUCUUAUUAGUUAAGAGGUGUGUUCUUACUUUUUUAUACCUAAACUAUCAUAAUACUAUUACUUUUAUAACGCAUAUAUCCACAUCCAUCGUGGAGCCAAAGUAAUUAAUGGAGGAACAGAAGUAAAUUUAAAAUCAUCUUCAUAACAUAUAAUCACUUGCAAAUAAAUAAAUAUUUUUUUUACAAUAUAUCAGGAUAUUCAUAUCCAUUUGAGGUGUAAUUGUUCCCAUGCAAAGUGGAUAAGGUCAUUUUAGGGCAAAGCCAUUAUAAUUUGUUUUUUUAAAAAAUAGUGUAGAAAAACGUUUGUGAUACUUAUUAUUAUUUAAAUUAAUUUUUGUAAUUGUGAAUCAAACCUAUAACGGACUUCAUAGGAGCCAAAUAAUUUACGCCUUUACUUUUUUUUUUCGCCUUUUAAUACAAAACAAAAUAAAUAUGAUUUUUUAAAUUGCUAUCAAAGUAUCCGAUUGAAAACGAAAGUUUUCCUUAAAUAUUAGAAUGUCUCGAAUUUAAUUAUUCGAAUUUAUUUUAUGUCCCGAUCGCAAAUUUACGAGUUGCCAAACAAAUUUUGGAAAACAGUAUUAUAAGAUGAAUAAGAAAAAUCGUGUGGAAGCAGAAGCUCGACCAAUAGGAUCAUAUCGGAUUUGAAGAAUCCAUUAAAAAAAAAAUUCUUUAUGGCCCUAAAGGCGACAGCUGUAUAUUACUUUCCAAAAUAUUAUACUUUAUUUCAUAUAUUGAAGUUCUAUCCUCUUUCGUCCAUAAUUUUUUUUCCUGUAGAAAAUUUUUUUUACUGUAAAUCAUUAUAUUCUAUCUUAUUAACUGUUUUGUAUUGUGUUACUUUGUUAUUGCCGUUUUUCAUUAUUUUUUUAUGCCCUUCCAUUCAUAAAUAAAGAAAAAAUAUAUAACGAACUUACUGGUUAAUUCCAAUUUAUUUAUGGCUAUUUUUACAUUGUUUUCUAUCAAGAUCAAUCUUUGUAUCACAUGAUACUAUUAACACUCCGAAACUCCUCAUUUAUCUUCUUUUUUAUGCAUUAUUAUAAUUAUAUAUAGUUCUGUUCAUCACCAUAAUAUGACAAUCGAAAAAUAUAUUUUAUGAGCAUUUUUUUUAAUAGCAUUAAUUUUCUAAACAAUUAUAUAGUUUUAAAACAUAAAAUUAAGCAAUUUAAAUGACUAGCAGUUUAGAUGUGUUCAAAGACAUUAAUUUCUUCUGUCGGUUUAUUAGUAGGGCAAUAAGCGUUAUGAACAAAAAGCAACAACUCUAAUUCAUCACAGUAUUGAAAGCAUCAAAUAGAAUCAUGCAAGAUUGUAAAAAACUAUAUAAAUAAAAGCAUAUAUAUAUUAUAUAUUAUAUAUAGAUAAUAAUUUACAUAAUUCUGUCGACGGGACCCUAAAUCUACGUACUUAAGGACGAAUGAAACUUUUAUUAUCAUCGAAAGUCACUACAAUAAAAGCGGAUCUAUAGCGACAUUUUAAUAUAGUAAAUGUCAAAAAAGUGCCUGCUAGCUAAAAUUACCGACACUUUUAAAAAGUGUUGCUAUAUUGUGAUACGUUAGUAUAUCUUAGUGACAGUUAAGAGUGUCGCUAUAAUCUAAAAAGUGCUGCUACAUUUAAUCAAACAAUUAUUAUAUAGCACUUUUAGCAACUAGCGAAACUUCUAUCUCUGUUGCGCUGCGGUGCUGAGUGAGGACGACCAGGAAGACUCUUCGUCUAGAAUUUCAGUGGACUUGAGUAAAGAGAGAAAGAAAAUGGGUAAUUGAUUUUCAUUUUUUUUCUUAUCUGUUUGUAACUCGAUAAAUGGACUGGACUGUUUGGCAUGUGUGGUUGGUAGAGUAUCUUUAUUUUUGGAUUCGGAAUUGGCUUUUUAUAGGCAAUAAGUAGAUUUUUUUUAAGUUUUAACAUCAAAUAGAGACAUACUCAAAAAUGUCACCAACAUGUGUCUCUAUAUACUAAUUCUUAGUUAGUGAGUACAAAAAGUGCCUCUUUUUAGAAUAUCUAAAUUGUAAAAUACAUCUCAAGGCAAAAAAAUCCACGAAAUAAAAUUCAUUAUCUAACUAGCUGAUUCUAACUAACAUUAUAAUAGUUCGAUUUCUAGACUAGAAAUAAUUUGAAGCAUUCAUCAAAUCAAAUAGAAAAAACUAGUCGAGUUAUAUCUUGUAUGUCGUGUAUAUAUGACUAUUGCAAGUUCAUCGUGAUAAUUACUAUGAAAAUAAAUAUAGAAGCCUUGGAGGUCGUUGUAUUUAGUUCAACCAGCACAUACUAUAGUUGAAACUGAUCCAAAUUAGCUACAGCUUCAGCCUCAAGCAGCUUGGCAAAUAAUUGUUCAUCUAAUUUAAAGAUGUAAAAAAGCGUACAUCUUCACGUAACAAAAGCCAGAAAUUGAACGAUAAAUGCAAAUUCUACAACUCAAAAGCCUGUGUAUAAGUGCCUGCUACAACCUUCAUUUACUAGAGCUAAGCCAAACUCAUUUUAGUAUUAUGCACAAAAAAAAAAAAAAAAAAAGUUUUUCUUUUAAUUUUUAGCAAGUAAGGCAGUAAUCUCUCCUGUUGGUGUUAUUAAUUUUUAUUUUAAAUUAUUAUUUGACUAUCAUAUUUUAUUCUUAUAGAUUAUUUAUUUGUCAGUUAUCAACUAAAUUCUAAGAAAAAUUUUUAUUUUAACCCAUAAUUUUUUAUCUUUUUUUUUUAGAGAGAUAGGUAGAUUACACGCUACCCACUCUCUUGUAUUAUCUUAGAAUAAACUUAGCUGAAUAUGGAAUCAACUAAGUUCGAACUUGACAUCUCGGAACCAACAUCAAUCCUUUGUCACUGCAUCAGAAAAACGAUCGGCAUAUAUUUUAUCCUUGUUGAAGAAUUGAAUAAAACUAUAUUAUUCUAGAUUUAUCCAUUUACAAACAGGACCCUGCGGAUCAGGAAUGAACUUGUGCAUCUUGAUAUAUAAAUGUACACAACAUAUGUGUUAAAAAAAUAAAACACAAAUGUUGUCGGAGAUCUCCACCUUUUUGACGUGCAGGAUACUAGUGGGCCUACUUGGAUGAUGUGACGUCAUCAUUGAGGCUUUGACCAACAACAAAGUGUCGGCACGAGAGCAUUGAAGAGGAGAGAGAGAGAUAGAGAGAGUGCGUUGUAGAGCUGAGAAGAAGAGGAUGCCAAAUAAAAAUAAUAAUAAUAAUAAUAAUAAUAAUAAUAAAGAGAAUCUCACACUAAGCUUUACUGGAUCGUGUUAAUGGAGAAAUAUAAUUAUAAUUGCUUCCACUACAUGUGAAAACUACGUACUAACACUUCUCCUUUUCUUUUCUUUUUUUGGGUUUUUUUUUUUAAUUUGUGAUCGAAGUGCUAGUAUUCUAUGUUUUAGAGAGGCUUUUUUAAUAAUUAUUUACAUACAACUUCUACAUAUAUGCUUACUCUAUUGUAUGUAUCUGCUGCGACGAAAUUCGUACCCCUUAAUCCGAUCAAGGAUUUUUCUAGAGAAGCGUGCAGAAAUGUGAAACGACUACGCGUGAAGGGAUAUGCGGUUAGAAUGGUAUUGGUCUCCGGCUAGGAUAAUAGUAAUUCUCUAGAAUGAGUGUGGAUGGUUGGUUUGAAUAUUAUAACUGACGGGUGGAAAUGGUCUUUAAGGGUAGAUCUAACGUCCCGAAAUUAUGAGUACAAAAAAAUCUAUACUCUUUAAAAGUAUAGCUAACUGGAUUCUGUAUAUAUAUAU
rnacentral:lncRNA from 1 species